GAUGAACGCUAGCUACAGGCUUAACACAUGCAAGUCGAGGGGCAGCAUGGUCUUAGCUUGCUAAGACUGAUGACGACCGGCGCACGGGUGAGUAUCGCGUAUCCAACCUGCCCAUAAGUAGGGAAUAGCCUUGCGAAAGUAAGAUUAAUGCCCUAUGGUUUCCGCCAAAGACAUCUGAGAUGGAAUAAAGAUUUAUCGCUUAUGGAUGGGGAUGCGUCUGAUUAGGUAGUAGGCGGGGUAACGGCCCACCUAGCCGACGAUCAGUAGGGGUUCUGAGAGGAAGGUCCCCCACAUUGGAACUGAGACACGGUCCAAACUCC
rnacentral:rRNA from 1 species